GACCACGUGUGCCCCCACCUAACCCCACUACCCAUCAUUCUCAUCCACUCAAUUUCACCCACAUCUCUUCUCUCUUUUGGCCGGCUCUCUCUUUUCUUUCUUUCAUUUUCUCUCUUUUCAUUUUACUGAGACACGCACACACUCACCCGCCGGCCUCCACUCCAAACCACACCAUCUCACCAUUAUUUUUCCGGCAAGAUCACCAGAAAAAUACUUAGGAACUCCAAAGCAUCUUUAUCAUUUUAUUUGAGAGGAGGCAACAAUCUUUUAAGACAGCUUUUUGGUGGCUAAUAGUAGUUAGACUAACUACUGAUGGAGGCUAAAUUUUUGUAAUGAAUAUAUUAGAUGGUGUACAUCUUAGACUACGCUUGACUCAUUUUUUUAUAUAUUAUAGUGGUUAUAACUGUAUUUCCACUGAUGGGACAAGCUGUUGUUAUGUAAUUGUUUUAUUCAGACCUCUAUUCUUUUGUGGCCAAUGGUCCUUGUAAUUAAUGUUUAGAGUUCUGACUUACUCUGAGAGUAUAUUCUAUGGGGUUAUUAUGAUAA